CUGUCAGAGAAAAAUAGCCUUGGGAUACCCCACAAAUACAAAGACAGUAAGUACUGUGGGCCACUCUACAUCAGUCUCUCACCAAUGUAGUUGUUUAGUAUAGAAUAGGAACUACACUCGUAUCUGUGGUUAAUCCAUAAUGAAAAAUGUAAGUCCUGUAAAAAGGCAAAGCCAGCCCACUACAUCAGAUGUUACAAAUUUAGAAAUUAAGCACACACAUUUCUGUGACUUCAUUAUCUUCAGUCAAAUUUUCCCUUCCUUUUCAGGCAACUGAUAAGUUGGUUUCACAAUGGACUGUACCACCAUCCAGGGACAUGGUCACAUUUAAUUUCUCAAAGCUGAAGGAAAUAUGAUGAUCAGGAUAUGAAGAAGAAAACAAUAAAAAAAUCAUGUCUAGCAAGGACAGAGGUCACCUCCAAUGGAGACACUUCAGGAAUUGCUCGGGAAAGAACAUCAAGUGGUCAAACAGGAGGAGAUAUGUGGUUCAAGCUACAGAAACAGCAACAGGCUGAGCAGCCAACAUAAGGAGGUUAAGGGCGGGAAAAACAUGAGAAACUCUUUUGAGAAGCUGCAAAAGCUGACGUGGAGGAUCAAGGAUUUCAAAAGCUUUGAAUAUAAAGAGGUGAGAAUUUUUAUUUUAUUUUUUUACUAUUAUUCUGGUCUGUUGGUUGAGCUCUGAG
rnacentral:lncRNA from 1 species